UAUCUCCAAAUGUUGUGAUUCCAAUCCUGCUCUACUUGUACUACGAGAACAGCUUAGCAAGGCAAAUGAUCUUUGUUGGUACAUACAGCAGUCACUUAAAGCAGGUUUCACUAUAAUUUUUCUCUUUCGUUCACUCUUUCUCAAAUGAAGGAUGAGAGAAGGACUGGAAGGUAAUGACACCUUUUGGAAUAUUUACAUGAGCUCUAUAAGUAACUUGGAGGUGUCUCAUCCAGAGGGAAUGGAAAAGAGCUACAUAAAUAUUGCAAUUCAAAAAAGAAAAAAGAUUUACCAAAGGAGACAAGAUGUGAAUAUAACUGCAUAUAUAAAAGUUAUACUACUGGAAACCAGCAUACUAGAAAACGGAAAAAAAAUUUGACUUUAUUUAAGCUCCUGAAGGUGUUCCUGGCUUUAUUGAUUUUGUUCUGGACAUCCUCGUUUGUUCCACCGUCUGGCUGAUGUUACUGCCCAAGCAUGUGAAUGUUUCUAAUUGGUGAGAACAUUAUCCUCUAUCCAUACUGGUGAUGGUGAGGCAAUAUUAAAAGAGUUGGGUAUGUGAUCAGAGAUCGAGAUCAUCUGCGAAGUCCAGGUCUUCAAGGGAUGAGAAGGAUAUCCAUUUAAUGCCGCUUGGCACGUCUUCUGUUUGUACACUGCAUUACCCAGUCGAUGGCAACGUUGAAGAGGAUUGCAGAUAUGACACAUCCCUGACAUACUCCUAUUUUGACUUCAAAACUGAGCUCACUGUGAUCAACACUGCAUGUAAAGCUGAAAUAAAAGCUUUUGAUUAU